rnacentral:rRNA from 1 species
AACGAACGCUGGCGGCAUGCCUAACACAUGCAAGUCGAACGAGCCCUUCGGGUCUAGUGGCGCAAGGGUGCGUAACGCGUGGGAACCAGCACUUAGGUUCGGAAUAACUCCCCGAAAGGGGUGCUAAUACCGGAUAAUCUCUUCGGACCAAAGAUUUAUCGCCUCUGGAUGGGCCCGAGUUGGAUUAGCUAGUUGGUAGGGUAAAAGCCGACCAAGGCGACGAUCCAUAGCUGGUCUGAGAGGAUGAUCAGCCACCCUGGGACUGAGACACGGCCCAGACUCCUACGGGAGGCAGCAGUGGGGAAUAUUGGACAAUGGGCGAGAGCCUGAUCCAGCCAUGCCGCGUGAGUGAUGAAUGCCUUAGGGUUGUAAAGCGCUUGUAUCCGGGAUGAUAAUGACAGUACCGGGAGAAUAAGCCCCGGCUAACUCCGUG